rnacentral:snRNA from 1 species
GAUCUGAUUGGAACAUGUCACCCCACUAUCUCUGAGGUUGAUUCAGCUGAUCUGGCUGGCUAGAUCGAGUGCCCUUCCU